rnacentral:lncRNA from 1 species
AUGAUUUUUUUACUUUUUAGUGGGGAUCAGGCUGAGGCACAGAAGGAGUAGGGACAGAUGCAGACAGCCCACAAGGAAAGAGCUCUUUCCAGCCGUACUGCUUUCCUGAGCCACCAGGUCCCGUGCCCCUUGACUACAUCUCACUGUGCCCCUGUAAACUGCGUGCUCCAGCUACAGAGAGUUAAUUUGGCCUCAACAGGGAGAGGAGGAGAACUUAAAGCAGGAGCUCUGAGAACUACCAAAUCUCGGCACUGUUCUCCAGUAUUGGUACCAAGUAGAGCAGCCAGGUCCUGUUGGGAGAGGUUGGUUUCCUGACAAGCUGGAUUAGGCGGAUAAUGACUGAAGAGGCUGUCCUGAGCUCAGAAUGGGCAGCUGGUGCUGGCUUGGGAGAACUUGGUGGAAGGAAAAUCCAAGGAGAGAGCUAAUCCAAAGUCAUUUCUUUUUAUUCCCUGGAUCACACAGCCCGGAACAUACAUCUGUGGCAACAUCAGGUGUAGCUGGACUUAAGAGCCAUCAUGGGCUGAGAGCACAAGUGCCCCACCUGGGUCUCCCCUGGAAAGAGUCAGCCUCACUGGUAAGUCUUUUGCUUCGUUUCUCUCUUGUGAAUACAUUUAAGAGUUUCUGAAUACAGAUAGUUCCCUUAAAUAGUCUUACACCGAGGUUAUAUAUGAACUCUUAUAUUUGUGUUGUAUACUUUGGUACAUCUUUUUCUUCUUUCCUUUUAUGAACUAUUUGUGUGAGUAUAAAUUCCAGCAUGUUCUCAAUCUGCUGGGUUUUUUUUUUUUGUUUUUUUUUUUUUUUGGUCUUUUUGUCUUUUGUUGUUGUUGUUGUUGUUGCUAUUUCUUGGGCCACUCCCGCGGCAUAUGGAGGUUCCCAGGCUAGGGGCCCAAUCAGAGCUGUAGCCACCGGCCUACACCAGAGCCACAGCAACGCGGGAUCUGAGCCGCGUCUGCAACCUACACCACAGCUCACGGCAACGCCGGAUCUUUAACCCACUGAGCAAGGGCAGGGACCGAACCCGCAACCUCAUGGUUCCUAGUCGGAUUCGUUAACCACUGCGCCACAACAGGAACUCCUCAAUCUGUGGUUUUUAAACUGGAGUUCAUAUUUCAUAAAAUAAAAUUCUCAUGAAGAUUUUCUGCUUCUUUAUU